AGGGCAUCUGGUGGAUGCCUUGGCGUCGAGAGGCGAUGAAGGACGUGGCACGCUGCGAUAAGCUCCGGGGAGAGGCGAGCGCUCUUUGAUCCGGGGAUCUCCGAAUGGGGCAACCCACCGCUUCGUGCGGUAUCCUCAGCUGAAUCCAUAGGCUGGGGAGGCGAACCCGGCGAACUGAAACAUCUCAGUAGCCGGAGGAAAGGACAUCAACCGAGACUCCGUCAGUAGCGGCGAGCGAACGCGGACCAGGCCAGUGGNNUCCUCGAGUAGGGCGGGGCACGUGAAACCCUGUCCGAACAUGGGGGGACCACCCUCCAAGCCUAAGUACUCCUCGACGACCGAUAGUGCACCAGUACCGUGAGGGAAAGGUGAAAAGCACCCCGACAAGGGGGGUGAAACAGACCCUGAAACCGGAUGCCUACAAACAGUCGGAGCCCGACUCUCGACCUUCGGGACGAGAGGGUGGGUGACGGCGUACCUUUUGCAUAAUGGGUCAGCGAGUUCGUGUCGGCAGCGAGCCUAAGCCGCUAGGUGGAGGCGCAGCGAAAGCGAGUCUGAACAGGGCGCUUCAGUUGCCGGGACGAGACCCGAAACCGGGUGAUCUAGCCAUGACCAGGCUGAAGGUGGGGUGACACCCACUGGAGGGCCGAACCCACGCCCGUUGAAAAGGUCGGGGAUGAGUUGUGGCUAGGGGUGAAAGGCCAAGCAAACCCGGAGAUAGCUGGUUCUCCGCGAAAGCUAUUGAGGUAGCGCGUCGCGCGAUCCCCUCGGGGGGUAGAGCACUGGAUGGGCUAGGGGGGAGCGAUCCUUACCAAACCUAACCAAACUCCGAAUACCCGAGCAGGCAGCGCGGCAGACAGGCGGCGGGUGCUAAGGUCCGUCGCCGAGAGGGAAACAGCCCAGACCGCCGGCUAAGGUCCCCAAGUCAUGGCUAAGUGGGAAAGGAUGUGGGAAGGCCACAACAACCAGGAGGUUGGCUUAGAAGCAGCCAUCCUUUAAAGAAAGCGUAACAGCUCACUGGUCUAUCAGCCGUCCUGCGCCGAAGAUGUAACGGGGCUCAAGCCAUGCACCGAAGCCGCGGAUUCCAGAGGUCAGAUGUCAGAUGUCAGAUGUCAGACAGAAAGUCUGACGGAUGACAUGAUGUCUGGAACGAGAAGGAUGUCGAGGUGACGCAGGCGAAGGCGUUCGAGGACCUUUUGGUCUUCAAGCGGGCCUAUCGUCUGUCGUUGGAGAUUCAUCGUGCGAGCCUGACCUUCCCUGCGAUCGAGCAGCGUGCCCUGGCGGAUCAGAUCCGCCGGGCGAGCAAGUCGGUCUGCGCCAACCUGGCAGAGGGGUUCGGUCGGCAGCAUGCGUCGAGAGCCGAGUUCCGCCGCUUCGUCGUGAUGGCGAUGGGCUCGGCCGACGAGACGCGGCUGUGGCUGCGUUAUUGUCUCGACCUCGGCUAUGUCGAGGAAGGGCAAUGGCGCAGCUGGCGCGACGAAUGCCAGGAAGUGGCGAGGAUGCUGCAGGGGCUGCACCGGUCCCUUCGGGCAUCUUCUGAUCUCUGACAUCUGACAUCUGGCCUCUGGAGUGGUAGCGGAGCGUUCCGUAGGCCGGUGAAGGUCGGGCGUGAGCCCGGCUGGAGGCAUCGGAAGUGCGAAUGCUGACAUGAGUAACGAAAAGGCGUGUGAGAGACACGCCCGCCGGAAGUCCAAGGGUUCCUGCGCAAGGCUAAUCCGCGCAGGGUGAGCCGGCCCCUAAGCCGAGGGCGACAGCCGUAGGCGAUGGGAACCAGGUCAAGAUUCCUGGGCCUGGAGGUGGUGACGGCGAUCGUGUGUCGUUCUCCCUUAUCGGAUUGGGAGGGCGUCGAAGAUCGUCCAGGAAACAGCCCCUCCGUACAGACCGUACCCGAAACCGACACAGGUGGACUGGUUGAGCAUACCCAGGCGCUUGAGAGAACGACGUCGAAGGAACUAGGCAAAUUGCCCUCGUAACUUCGGGAGAAGAGGGCCUCCUUGGCGGGCAACCGUCGGGGAGGGGCACAAGCCAGGGGGUGGCGACUGUUUACUAAAAACACAGGGCUCUGCGAACUCGCGAGAGGACGUAUAGGGUCUGACGCCUGCCCGGUGCCGGAAGGUUAAGGGGAGUGGUGAGAGCUACGAACCGAAGCCCCGGUAAACGGCGGCCGUAACUAUAACGGUCCUAAGGUAGCGAAAUUCCUUGUCGGGUAAGUUCCGACCUGCACGAAUGGCGUAACGACUUCCCCACUGUCUCCGACGUCGGCUCAGUGAAAUUGAAUUCCCCGUGAAGAUGCGGGGUACCCGCGGUCAGACGGAAAGACCCCGUGCACCUUUACUGCAACUUUGCACUGGUACUAGGCCUGACAUGUGUAGGAUAGGUGGGAGCCGUUGAAGCCAGGGCGCCAGCUCUGGUGGAGGCGACGUUGAAAUACCACCCUUGUCGCGUCUGGUAUCUAACCGCGGCCCGUGAUCCGGGUCCGGGACCCUGCAUGGUGGGCAGUUUGACUGGGGCGGUCGCCUCCCAAAGAGUAACGGAGGCGCGCGAUGGUCGGCUCAGGCUGGUCGGAAACCAGCCGUCGCGUGCAAGCGCACAAGCCGGCCUGACUGCAAGAACGACGGUUCGCGCAGAGACGAAAGUCGGCGCUAGUGAUCCGGUGGUCCCGCGUGGAAGGGCCAUCGCUCAACGGAUAAAAGGUACGCCGGGGAUAACAGGCUGAUAACCCCCAAGAGUCCCCAUCGACGGGGUUGUUUGGCACCUCGAUGUCGGCUCAUCACAUCCUGGGGCUGAAGCAGGUCCCAAGGGUUCGGCUGUUCGCCGAUUAAAGUGGUACGUGAGCUGGGUUUAGAACGUCGUGAGACAGUUCGGUCCCUAUCUGCCGUGGGUGUUCGAGACUUGAGAGGAUCUGCCCUUAGUACGAGAGGACCGGGGUGGACGUACCUCUGGUGGACCGGUCGUGGCGCCAGCCGCGCAGCCGGGUAGCUAAGUACGGACGGGAUAACCGCUGAAGGCAUCUAAGCGGGAAACCCCCCUCGAAACCAGGUCUCGCCGAGAGCCGUGGAAGACCACCACGUCGAUAGGCCGGGAGUGGAAGCGUGGCGACACGCGCAGCUUACCGGUCCUAAUCGCUCGAUCGAGCUUC
rnacentral:rRNA from 1 species